rnacentral:rRNA from 1 species
AAUGAACGCUGGCGACGUGCUUAACACAUGCAAGUUGGACGAGAAAGUUUCUUCGGGAACGAGUACAGUAGCGAACGGGUGAGUAACGCGUGAGAAUCUACCUUUUAGUGGGGAAUACCUUUGGGAAACCGGAGUUAAUACCGCAUAAUCCUUUUGAGGGAAAGACGGCCUCUUUGCUGUCGCUGAAAGAUGAGCUCGCGUACUAUUAGUUAGUUGGUAGGGUAAAGGCUUACCAAGACUGAGAUGGUUAUCCGGCCUGAGAGGGUGAACGGACACAUUGGGGCUGAGAUACGGCCCAG